rnacentral:rRNA from 1 species
GAUGAACGCUGGCGGCGUGCCUAAUACAUGCAAGUCGAGCGAACGGACGAGAAGCUUGCUUCUCUGAUGUUAGCGGCGGACGGGUGAGUAACACGUGGAUAACCUACCUAUAAGACUGGGAUAACUUCGGGAAACCGUAGCUAAUACCGGAUAAUAUUUUGAACCGCAUUGUUCAAAAGUGAAAGACGGUCUUGCUGUCACUUAUAGAUGGAUCCGCGCUGCAUUAGCUAGUUGGUAAGGUAACGGCUUACCAAGGCAACGAUGCGUAGCCGACCUGAGAGGGUGAUAGGCGACACUGGAACUGAGACACGGUCAAGACUCCUACGGGAGGCAGCAGUAGGGAAUCGGCCGCAAUGGGCGAAAGCAUGACGGAGCAACGCCGCGUGAGUGAUGAAGGUCUUCGGAUCGUAAAACUCGGUUAUGAGGGAAGAACAUAUGUGUAAGUAACUGUGCACAGCGUGACGGUACCUAAUCAGAAAGCAACGGCUAACUACGUG